AAGUGCUCCUUGUGUUCAUGAACAAAUGGAAAAAAAGUUUCCAUUUUAAAUGUAGACUUUUGCCACAUGACUGAACUAAUUCAUGUUACAAAUAUGAUAUGAAACCACUUGAUAUUCCUGCCUGUAUACCUGCAGUAGAGAAGCCAUGAAGGCAAAUAUUCAGCAAAUCAAGCAACUGACCCAUUUGCACAGAGACUAAAAACAUUUUUUGAAAUGAAAUUUUGCUAUGAACAUUACCUUGACAUCGACCCAGAGACAUGACUUCAAUUUUCUCCUGUUUCUGACAUGACGCUUCUUUGAUUUGACAUGCAUUAUCAUAAGACUUCCCAUCAGAAGCACAGAGGGGAUUGAAGUUGGUUUGAGAACAGUCAAUGUUGCACACACACCUAAAGGAAGAGCAAAAUAAAAUGCAGAACAUUAGUAGUGAUGUUACCACACUGUAAGUAAAAUAUGAAUGGGAGAAGUGGCUAGCAGGGCAAAAUGCAGAAGAAUCAAAUUGUGCUUUUCCAGAGAAGUUCUGCCAGCUUUCUGAGAUGAAAUGUAACACAGAACUAAUAGUAAAUAAUCCAGAGAACUCAGCAGUGAAUCAAAAAUAAACGUGCAUAAACAUCACGGGACUGUUUGGAGAAUACAAAUAGGCUACUGCAGCAGGAUGGCUUCAGAAGUGACUCAAGUGCAUUCCUGCACUUGCUUCAUUGGAUGGCUAAACGGGGAGAGCUUGAAAAAAAUGUCCCAGGAGCCAGUAAAACAGAACGCAAUCAAAUACACUGUUUGGAAUGCUGUCAGAAAAGGUAUUUCUCCAGCACAAAGGAGAGCAUGAAUGAGGAGCAGUAAAUGAGAGCCUUCAGUGGUUCUUAGCCGUUUGGAGUGCCACAGAUGCCCUUCCAGAGUGAAGGGAAAGACGUAGGAAUCUUCUCCGAAAUGCUCACACCCUAUAAACAGCAUUUACACGAAAUCCCAUGGGGUUCUCAGGUUUCUUUCUGCACAUCCCAAGGUUCCUUCCCAAGGUACACAAUUUUUAUUUUAGGCUCUUAUUUUACACAAUAAAGUGACAAAUUCAAAUUG